UAUGCAAGUUUAAUAACUAUAUCUUAGAAUAUUAUUUGGUUAUGAUGCAUCACUUGUGACCUUAAUAGUGAAUUUUCUACUCAUCCUUUGUGAUCAUAUCAUUUAGUCAAAUCGAUCUCUAUACAGGCUUAAUUAGUAAUUAUGAUUUUGUCAUUUAUUUAGUUUCAUUAUUAAGUUCUAUCUAGCAUCCAAUUCAUAUUCAAAUAUAAUAUCCAGCUUACAUCCUUAUUCAAAUAGAAAAAUAUGAUAUAAUUAAUUUAUAACUUA
rnacentral:lncRNA from 1 species